UGACGGGGCCCGCACAAGCGUGGAGCAUGUGUUUAAUUCGAAGCAGCGCGAAGAACCUUACCAGGCCUUGACAUGCUAGGGAACCUGGGUGAAAGCCUGGGGUGCCCCGCGAUGGGAGCCCUAGCACAGGUGCUGCAUGGCCGUCGUCAGCUCGUGUCGUGAGAUGUUGGGUUAAGUCCCGCAACGAGCGCAACCCCUGCCGUUAGUUGCCAGCGGGUGAAGCCGGGCACUCUAACGGGACUGCCUGCGAAAGCAGGAGGAAGGCGGGGACGACGUCUGGUCAUCAUGGCCCUUACGGCCUGGGCGACACACGUGCUACAAUGCCCACUACAGAGCGAGGCGACCUGGCGACAGGGAGCGAAUCGCAAAAAGGUGGGCGUAGUUCGGAUUGGGGUCUGCAACCCGACCCCAUGAAGCCGGAAUCGCUAGUAAUCGCGGAUCAGCCAUGCCGCGGUGAAUACGUUCCCGGGCCUUGUACACACCGCCCGUCACGCCAUGGGAGCGGGUUCUACCCGAAGUCGCCGGGAGCCUUAGGGCAGGCGCCGAGGGUAGGGCCCGUGACUGGGGCGAAGUCGUAACAAGGUAA
rnacentral:rRNA from 1 species